rnacentral:rRNA from 1 species
UAGGGAGCUGUCUAUUAGUGGGGGACAACCCGGGGAAACUCGGGCUAAUACCGCAUACCCUCUGAGGAGGAAAGCUGGGGACCUUCGGGCCUGGCGCUAAUUGAGGCACCUGCGUCGGAUUAGCUAGUUGGUGAGGUGAAGGCUCACCAAGGCGAUGAUCCGUAGCUGGUCUGAGAGGACGAUCAGCCACACUGGGACUGAGACACGGCCCAGACUCCUACGGGNGCAG